rnacentral:rRNA from 1 species
GCGGGCAUCUAAUGAGGACUAAUGGCUUCGGCCGCUGCGGGAUGGGGAUGCGUAGGAUUAGGCAGGCGGCGGGGCGACGGCCCACCGCGCCGACGAUCCUUAGGGGUUCUGAGAGGAAGGUCCCCCACACUGGUACUGAGACACGGACCAGACUCCUACGGGAGGCAGCAGUGAGGAAUAUUGGUCAAUGGGCGCGAGCCUGAACCAGCCAAGUAGCGUGCAGGAAGACGGCCCUACGGGUUGUAAACUGCUUUUAUGCGGGGAUAAAGUGGGCUACGCGUAGCCCUUUGCAGGUACCGCAUGAAUAAGGACCGGCUAAUUCCGUGCCAGCAGCCGCGGUAAUACGGAAGGUCCGGGCGUUAUCCGGAUUUAUUGGGUUUAAAGGGAGCGCAGGCGGCCUUUUAAGCGUGACGUGAAAUGCCGGGGCUCAACCUUGGAAUUGCGUCGCGAACUGGCGGGCUUGAGUACGCUCGAGGCAGGCGGAAUUCGUGGUGUAGCGGUGAAAUGCUUAGAUAUCACGAGGAACCCCGAUUGCGAAGGCAGCCUGCCGGGGUGUUACUGACGCUCAUGCUCGAAGGUG